GGCUGAUUGGCUCAUUUGGUAGAGUGUGCGACCCUUGAUCUCGGGGUUGUGGGUUCAAGUCCCACAUUGGGUG
rnacentral:tRNA from 1 species